UACGUAGGGUGCGAGCGUUGUCCGGAAUUACUGGGCGUAAAGCGCGUGUAGGCGGCUCUGUAAGUCGGGUGUGAAAUCCCACGGCUCAACCGUGGAAGUGCACUCGAAACUACAGGGCUAGAGUCCUGGAGAGGAAGGUGGAAUGCUUGGUGUAGAGGUGAAAUUCGUAGAUAUCAAGCGGAACACCGGUGGCGAAGGCGGCCUUCUGGACAGUGACUGACGCUGAGACGCGAAAGCGUGGGGAGCAAACAGG
rnacentral:rRNA from 1 species